GAGAAUCAGCAGAACAGCCAACGGGGGCAUUAAUAAAAAAAAAUAAAAAAAAAAGGAAAGAAAGAGAGGGUGCAAAAUCAAAAAAAUCAAAAGCAGAAUCAAAAUCAAAAUCAAAAUCAAAAGAAAGAAAAAAAAACAAAAGAAAAGAUAGCACCCUCCAAGUCCCAAGUUGACUGAUGCUGAAUUCGAUCGGAAAGAAGAGAUCAACUGC
rnacentral:lncRNA from 1 species